rnacentral:rRNA from 1 species
UAACACCGGCAGCUCUAGUGGUAGCUGUUUUUAUUGGGCCUAAAGCGUUCGUAGCCGGUUUGAUAAGUCACUGGUGAAAUCCUGUAGCUUAACUGUGGGAAUUGCUGGUGAUACUGUUGAACUUGAGGUCGGGAGAGGUUAGCGGUACUCCCAGGGUAGAGGUGAAAUUCUGUAAUCCUGGGAGGACCACCUGUGGCGAAGGCGGCUAACUGGAACGAACCUGACGGUGAGGGACGAAAGCUAGGGGCGCGAACCGGAUUAGAUACCCGGGUAGUCCUAGCCGUAAACGAUGCGGACUUGGUGUUGGGAUGGCUUUGAGCCGCUCCGGUACCGAAGGGAAGCUGUUAAGUCCGCCGCCUGGGGAGUACGCCGGCAACGGUGAAACUCAAAGGAAUUGACGGGGGCCCGCACAAGCGGAGGAACAUGUGGUUUAAUUCGAUGAUACGCGAGGAACCUUACCGGGCUUGAAAGUUAGUGACGGCGGAUGAAAGUCUGCUUCCCUUCGGGGCGCGAAACUAGGUGCUGCAUGGUUGUCGUCAGCUCGUGCCGUGAGGUGUCGGCUUAAGUGCCAUAACGAGCGCAACC